UACGGAAGGGGGCUAGCGUUGCUCGGAAUUACUGGGCGUAAAGCGCACGUAGGCGGCUUUCUAAGUCGGGGGUGAAAUCCUGGAGCUCAACUCCAGAACUGCCUUCGAUACUGGAGAGCUCGAGUCCGGGAGAGGUGAGGUGGAACUGCGAGUGUAGAGGUGAAAUUCGUAGAUAUUCGCAAGAACACCAGUGGCGAAGGCGGCUCACUGGCCCGGUACUGACGCUGAGGUGCGAAAGCGUGGGGAGCAAACAGG
rnacentral:rRNA from 1 species